CCUACGGGGGGCUGCAGUGGGGAAUAUUGGACAAUGGGGGCAACCCUGAUCCAGCCAUGCCGCGUGAGUGAUGAAGGCCUUAGGGUUGUAAAACUCUUUUGUCCGGGAAGAUAAUGACUGUACCGGAAGAAUAAGCCCCGGCUAACUUCGUGCCAGCAGCCGCGGUAAUACGAAGGGGGCUAGCGUUGUUCGGAAUCACUGGGCGUAAAGCGCACGUAGGCGGAUUGUUAAGUCAGAGGUGAAAUCCCGGAGCUCAACUUCGGAACUGCCUUUGAUACUGGCAAUCUCGAGUCUGGAAGAGGUUGGUGGAACUGCGAGUGUAGAGGUGAAAUUCGUAGAUAUUCGCAAGAACACCAGUGGCGAAGGCGGCCAACUGGUCCAGUACUGACGCUGAGGUGCGAAAGCGUGGGGAGCAAACAGGAUUAGAUACCCCAGUAGUC
rnacentral:rRNA from 1 species